rnacentral:tRNA from 1 species
GUGGAUGUACCAGAGUGGCUUAAUGGCUCAGACUGCAAAUCUGUUGAUUCAGGAGUUCGAAUCUCCUCAUCCACUCA